ensembl:lncRNA
ACAUAUUCAAGGAGCCUCGGGGUAACAGCUGUCCUGAAGUUGGGAGAGUGGGUUGGAGUGGAGAAUGGAGGAGGAGUAGAGUCUGCAGAGCCGUGAAUGCCAGAUUCACCUAGAACUUUUCCCUUAAGUGUGUGUUUUGUUUUGAGGGCAGGGCACUUAAUGAAAAGAAGAGUAGACUGAGAGCCUUGUGCAGAAGGAACCAGACGUGGAGAGGAAAGGAUGAAAAGAAUACUUAGAAAGGGGCUCUAGUACUGGGCUCAGUCAUUCGACUCCAUUUAGGGGGUGCUUGCUCUGUGUCCUGAGAUAGAAGAGAGCAGCUCUUCCCUGAAGGAGCUCACAGUCUAGUGAUAGGAGACAGAAUAUUCUCAUGCAGUGCCGUGAACACUACCGUAGAAGAGUUAGGAAUUCCCAGCCUGGGCCAUCCGGGAAGGCUUCCCAGAGGAAGAGACACCAGAAGGACUAAUUUGCAGGACUAAAUAGAGUUAGCUAGGUGCAGAAGUCGGGGAAGAGCAAUCCAGACAGAGGAUCAGCAGGCGCUCAGGCACUGAAGCAAGAGAGAGCAAGAGGCAUUGCAGGAACUGCAAGCAGAUUGAUUGGCUCAGGUGAAGGUGGGACAUGAGCAAGCGACCAGAGAGCGAAUCCAAGAUGUGCAAAGAGAAUUUUUUAAAAGCAGCUGGUAUUACUAUAAUUUGUCAGCAAACGGAUUAUGGAAAGUCUUUCAUUCAAUCAAGACGGUGAAGGCAAAGGCCUUAGUCCCUGCUGAUCAAAAUAAUAGCAUCAGUCAAUAGUAAUUUAUAUGAUGAUCCAGAUGCCGCUUCUUCCCCAGGAGGAGCAGGUAAGCAGCUCCUCUCUACAGGACCCACACGAUCUUCCGAGCUGAACUCCAAGGUCAGAUCCUAUCUGUGGCCUGCAGACGUCAUAACACUUCUCCCCCAGCCCCGUCCAGUACUUCAGCCUGCAUCUUCUAAGAAAAGGGAUACUCUUCAACUUAACCACAAUACUACUUCCCCCACAAGGACAUUAACAUUUAUUUAAUAAUUCUCAUCUAACAUAUAGUCUAUAUUUAAAUUUUCCCAAUUGUCCCCAAAAUAUCAUUUGUACUUUUUUCCUGAUCUGGAAUCCAAUGAAAGUUUACAUAUUACAUAUGAGUACUCUGAUUUAUUCUUAGAUGCAAAAUGAGUUUAAGCAAAUUGUUUAUGCCCAUGAUCAAGAAUCUUUUUGUGAACACCCUGACUUUUUUUGAGGAAGAUUAGCCCUGAGCUAACACCAGUGCCCGUCUUCCUCUACUUUAUAUGUGGGAUGCCUGCCACAGCAUGGCUUGACACAUGGUGCCAUGUCUGCACCCGGGAUCCAAACCGGUGAACCUAGGGCCGCUGAAGCGGAACGUGUGGACUUAACUGCUGCGCCACCGGGCUGGCCCCAGCCCUGACUAUUUUUGAGAUAGGAAGUCGGGUUUGGAAACAAAAGCAUUGUUAUAUUACAGUGGAAAGAAAACCGGGCGAAGCAUUCAGCAUUCUGGAUUCCAGGUCUUGUCCUAUCACUAAUCAUCUGCCCAAAGUCAGAAAGGGUCAACUCAGUUGGGAAAGAUUUCAAUAAGAUGAAACCUCAAUUCUUCAUUAAAAGAUAUUGGAAAUGAGACCCUCAAAGCACCCAUGGUAUGUGCAGACCUUUAGAAUCUUGCCAAAGCGGGUAUGCCAAACGUAAGUAACAUCUGAUUUGCCUUAAUCUCUGGAGCUCAAUAGAUUUCUUCCAAUUCUUGUAUCUCUGCUGGGUUUUCCCGUCUCUUUAUUAUCAUUCCCAACCUGUCUGUCAUCCUCUGGACCCACCC